AUUGAACGCUGGCGGCAUGCCUUACACAUGCAAGUCGAACGGCAGCACGGGUGCUUGCACCUGGUGGCGAGUGGCGAACGGGUGAGUAAUACAUCGGAACAUGUCCUGUAGCGGGGGAUAGCCCGGCGAAAGCCGGAUUAAUACCGCAUACGAUCUACGGAUGAAAGCGGGGGACCUUCGGGCCUCGCGCUAUAGGGUUGGCCGAUGGCUGAUUAGCUAGUUGGUGGGGUAAAGGCCUACCAAGGCGACGAUCAGUAGCUGGUCUGAGAGGACGACCAGCCACACUGGGACUGAGACACGGCCCAGACUCCUACGGGAGGCAGCAGUGGGGAAUUUUGGACAAUGGGCGAAAGCCUGAUCCAGCAAUGCCGCGUGUGUGAAGAAGGCCUUCGGAUUGUAAAGCACUUUUGUCCGGAAAGAAAUCCUUGGCCCUAAUACGGUCGGGGGAUGACGGUACCGGAAGAAUAAGCACCGGCUAACUACGUG
rnacentral:rRNA from 1 species